AAUCCGUGGUGUGGGCAUUUUUGAAUUAGCAUCUUAAAACACUCCCAUGCUUCUUCAAAGCUUUCUCUUUCUAAUUGUUUAAACAUUGAAAUUUCUCUUUUUAGCU
rfam:Gossypium hirsutum cultivar TM-1 chromosome 4, whole genome shotgun sequence